rnacentral:tRNA from 1 species
UGGGGUUUUAGCUCAGUGGUAAAGCACCUCGCAUGUAUGAGAUACUGGGUUCAAUUCUCAGCACCACAA